rnacentral:rRNA from 1 species
CUACGGGAGGCAGCUGUGGGGAAUAUUGGACAAUGGGCGCAAGCCUGAUCCAGCCAUGCCGCGUGUGUGAAGAAGGCCUUUUGGUUGUAAAGCACUUUAAGCGAGGAGGAGGCUACUUGGAUUAAUACUCUAAGAUAGUGGACGUUAUUCGCAGAAUAAGCACCAGCUAACUCUGUGCCAGCAGCCGCGGUAAUACAGAGGGUGCGAGCGUUAAUCGGAUUUACUGGGCGUAAAGCGUGCGUAGGCGGCUUCUUAAGUCGGAUGUGAAAUCCCUGAGCUUAACUUAGGAAUUGCAUUCGAUACUGGGAAGCUAGAGUAUGGGAGAGGAUGGUAGAAUUCCAGGUGUAGCGGUGAAAUGCGUAGAGAUCUGGAGGAAUACCGAUGGCGAAGGCAGCCAUCUGGCCUAAUACUGACGCUGAGGUACGAAAGCAUGGGGAGCAAACAGGAUUAGAUACCCUGGUAGUCCAUGCCGUAAACGAUGUCUACUAGCCGUUGGGGCCUUUGAGGCGUUAGUGGCGCAGCUAACGCGAUAAGUAGACCGCCUGGGGAGUACGGUCGCAAGACUAAAACUCAAAUGAAUUGACGGGGGCCCGCACAAGCGGUGGAGCAUGUGGUUUAAUUCGAUGCAACGCGAAGAACCUUACCUGGUCUUGACAUAGUAAGAACUUUCCAGAGAUGGAUUGGUGCCUUCGGGAACUUACAUACAGGUGCUGCAUGGCUGUCGUCAGCUCGUGUCGUGAGAUGUUGGGUUAAGUCCCGCAACGAGCGCAACCCUUUUCCUUAUUUGCCAGCGGGUUAAGCCGGGAACUUUAAGGAUACUGCCAGUGACAAACUGGAGGAAGGCGGGGACGACGUCAAGUCAUCAUGGCCCUUACGACCAGGGCUACACACGUGCUACAAUGGUCGGUACAAAGGGUUGCUACCUAGCGAUAGGAUGCUAAUCUCAAAAAGCCGAUCGUAGUCCGGAUUGGAGUCUGCAACUCGACUCCAUGAAGUCGGAAUCGCUAGUAAUCGCGGAUCAGAAUGCCGCGGUGAAUACGUUCCCGGGCCUUGUACACACCGCCCGUC